GACAGAGGGUGCAAACGUUGCUCGGAAUCACUGGGCGUAAAGCGCACGUAGGCGGAUUGCUAAGUCAGGGGUGAAAUCCUGGAGCUCAACUCCAGAACUGCCUUUGAUACUGGCGAUCUUGAGUUCGGGAGAGGUGAGUGGAACUGCGGGUGUAGAGGUGAAAUUCGUAGAUAUUCGCAAGAACACCAGUGGCGAAGGCGGCUCACUGGCCCGAUACUGACGCUGAGGCACGAAAGCGUGGGGAGCAAACAGG
rnacentral:rRNA from 1 species